GAUGAAGAACGUAGCGAAAUGCGAUACGUAAUGUGAAUUGCAGAAUUCAGUGAAUCAUCGAGUCUUUGAACGCACAUUGCGCCCUCUGGUAUUCCGGAGGGCAUGCCUGUCCGAGCGUCAUUGCUGCCCUCAAGCACGGCUUGUGUGUUGGGCUCCGUCCCCCGAUCCCGGGGGACGGGCCCGAAAGGCAGCGGCGGCACCGCGUCCGGUCCUCGAGCGUAUGGGGCUUUGUCACCCGCUCUGUAGGCCCGGCCGGCGCUUGCCGAUCAACCAAAUUUUUAUCCAGGUUGACCUCGGAUCAGGUAGGGAUACCUGCUGAACUUAAGCAUAUCAAUAAGCGGAGGA
rnacentral:misc_RNA from 1 species